UAAUUCACAUAGAUUUUGGGGUCACAUGCACCACGAAAUCUUACUACAUUGCUGGUGUUUUUGAACCGUUAAAGAUUCUCAAAAGAAAUCACUAUCUCGUUCUAGUUAGCAACCAACCCAACAGCGAUGGUCGAUUUGAAAUCAUGGACAACUUUUUUUAAGAAAAAACUACACCCAAGCAAAUUAAACUUCUACGAUCGC
rnacentral:lncRNA from 1 species